rnacentral:rRNA from 1 species
UACAGAGGGUGCUAGCGUUGUUCGGAAUGAUUGGGCGUAAAGGGCGUGUAGGCGGUUUGUUAAGUCAUGUGUGAAAUCCCUCGGCUCAACCGGGGAAGGACGCAUGAAACUGGCAAGCUAGAGUACCAAAGAGGGGGGUGGAAUUCACGGUGUAGCGGUGAAAUGCGUAGAUAUCGGGAGGAACACCUGUGGCGAAGGCGGCCCCCUGGUUGGAUACUGACGCUGAUACGCGAAAGCGUGGGGAGCAAACAGG